rfam:Carnobacterium sp. CP1, complete genome.
CAAUGGCUAUGAAACGAGAGGUUGCGACACACCCGGCCGCUUUGCCACGGCGAGUGUGACGGAAAUUUUCGUGGAGCAAUGUCUAAUUUCUAAGACUAGGCGAAGGAGGGAAAAUGAUGGCAA